CCAGCAGCCGCGGUAAUUCCAGCUCCAAUAGCGUAUAUUAAGUUGUUGCAGUUAAAAAGCUCGUAGUUGAACCUUGGCCCUGGCUGGUCGGUCCGCCUCACCGCGUGCACUGAUCCGGCCGGGGCUUUCCUUCUGGGGAACCGCAUGCCCUUCACUGGGUGUGUCGGGGAACCAGGACUUUUACUUUGAAAAAAUUAGAGUGUUCAAAGCAGGCCUAUGCUCGAAUACAUUAGCAUGGAAUAAUAGAAUAGGACGUGUGGUUCUAUUUUGUUGGUUUCUAGGACCGCCGUAAUGAUUAAUAGGGAUAGUCGGGGGCAUCAGUAUUCAAUUGUCAGAGGUGAAAUUCUUGGAUUUAUUGAAGACUAACUACUGCGAAAGCAUUUGCCAAGGAUGUUUUCAUUAAUCAGUGAACGAAAGUUAGGGGAUCGAAGACGAUCAGAUACCGUCGUAGUCUUAACCAUAAACUAUGCCGACUAGGGAUCGGGCGAUGUUAUCUUUUUGACUCGCUCGGCACCUCACGAGAAAUCAAAGUCUUGGGUUCUGGGGGGAGUAUGGUCGCAAGGCUGAAA
rnacentral:rRNA from 1 species